GUAAUGUUGAAUUCUUGUUCUUGUAUGGAACAGAUGAUAUACGCAUAUAAGAAGCUGUUGUUUCAAGUGAAAUUAUAUGAUGGAAUCUUGACUUUUUGUAUUGACUAGGAUGUGAGACAAGCGGAACACUGGGUAGCUGAACUGUUCCAAGAAGAUGUGGAAUCUGUUUAUAUUAAAAACAGUCCUUUCACUGUGAAAAGUAGUGAACAUAAGGUUAAGUGCCACAGCCUCAUUUUUGCUACAGGAGCUGCUGCAAAAAGGCUCAGGUUACCUUGUGAAGAUGAAUUUUGGAGUAGGGGAAUUAGUGCUUGUGC
rnacentral:misc_RNA from 1 species